GAUGAACGCUGGCGGCGUGCCUUAAGCAUGCAAGUCGAACGAUGAGACUUUUGUAGCAAUACUAGGGUCGAUUAGUGGCGGACGAGUGAGUAUAAGCAAGGAACGUACCCAGUCGUGGGGGAUAACGUAGCGAAAGUUACGCUAAUACCGCAUACGUCCUGAGGGAGAAAGCGGGGGAUCUUCGGACCUCGCGCGAUUGGAGCGGCCGAUGUCAGAUUAGCUAGUUGGUGAGGUAAAGGCUCACCAAGGCGACGAUCUGUAGCGGGUCUGAGAGGAUGAUCCGCCACACUGGGACUGAGAAACGGCCCAGACUCCUACGGGAGGCAGCAGUGGGGAAUUUUGGACAAUGGGCGAAAGCCUGAUCCAGCCAUGCCGCGUGAGUGAAGAAGGCCUUCGGGUUGUAAAGCUCUUUCGGACGGGAAGAAAUCUUCUGGGCUAAUACCCCGGGAGGAUGACGGUACCGUAAGAAGAAGCACCGGCUAACUACGUGCCAGCAGCCGCGGUAA
rnacentral:rRNA from 1 species